rnacentral:rRNA from 1 species
UACGAAGGGGGCUAGCGUUACUCGGAAUUACUGGGCGUAAAGGGCGCGUAGGCGGCGCUCCAAGUUAGGCGUGAAAGUCCUGGGCUCAACCUGGGAACUGCGCUUAAGACUGGAGUGCUUGAGGAUGGAAGAGGGUUGUGGAAUUCCCAGUGUAGAGGUGAAAUUCGUAGAUAUUGGGAAGAACACCGGUGGCGAAGGCGGCAACCUGGUCCAUUUCUGACGCUGAGGCGCGAUAGCGUGGGGAGCAAACAGG